rnacentral:rRNA from 1 species
ACAUGCUUUCAACAUAGUGUUAAUGCACCAAAUCCCAUUAGAACUUAGCAAUUAAGUGUGCUCGGGCUAGAGUAGUAUUGGGGUGGGUGACCACUCGGGAAGUCCUAGUGUUUUACAUGUC